rnacentral:rRNA from 1 species
AUUGAACGCUGGCGGCAGGCUUAACACAUGCAAGUCGAGCGAGCGGCGGACGGGUGAGUAAUGUCUGGGAAACUGCCUGAUGGCGGGGGAUAACUACUGGAAACGGUAGCUAAUACCGCAUACCAUCAGAUGUGCCCAGAUGGGAUGAGCUAGUAGGGGGGGUAAUGGCUCACCUAGGCGACGAUCCCUAGCUGGUUUGAGAGGAUGACCAGCCACACUGGAACGGAGCCACGGUCCAGACUCCGACGGGAGGCAGCAGUGGGGAAUAUUGCACAAUGGGCGCAAGCCUGCGGCAGCCAUGCCGCGGGUGUGAAGAGGGCCUUCGGGUUGGAAAGCACUUUCAGCGAGGAGGCGUUACUCGCAGAAGAAGCACCGGCUAACUCCGUGCCAGCAGCCGCGGUAAUAC